AGAUGUGGGGGAACUCCCUUACUACUCCUUAGCCUGAAGCCAUGCAUACACACACACACACACACACACAUACACACGCAUAUAUAUACUGUAACACACGCUCAAGAGGAGGAGAAGCAAAACAAUCAUUUGGAGUAAAUCCUGAGAUGGCUGGGAUGGUUGUGGUGGAUUUUGCACAGAAAGGCCAAAAUUGGAGAAAACCAAAUAAGAUAUUGAAGUGGAGGUUGGUAAACACCAGGCUGUACGGAAGAGCUGCUUCCCUGUUCCAUUUGACCUCUGAGACAAUUGGCUCGGAGCAAUGCGAGCAGCAGGCCCGCUCUCGGGGAGACCAGAGGCCACUGUGACCGACGUCUUUGCCCCCUUCACGACAGAAUAACAGAGAGGCUGCAACUUUCCUUCUGAGCGAGGAAACUUUCCCCUUGGUGAUACGGACUUGGUGAAAGAUAUACCUGUGUAAAAUUCAUGAAUUCAUAACUUUUGAGGGUAUAUUUCACUACUGAUCUAUUGGGCCGUGAUAAGAAUUCAAAGGUGAAUGGAGCUGGAGGACAUCUUCAAAGCGGUCGAGGACAUCACAGGAAAGCCAAUGAGGCGCGUUGCCCUCCUCCAACAUCCUCGGAAUACAUUCCAUGUACCUCUCCGCAAUGUGAUACACUGUCAGAUAAAAUCGGAUGCCAUUGCAGUCCGCUGCCAUUAACUUGAUUUACUCUAGGGUUUCAGUCAAACUCUGACAAAAAAGUGGUUGCGUCGGCAAGUUUCAUCAGAAUUUGUUAAACCAUGCAAAGACACGUGAAGAAAAAGGGCACUGAUAGCCGCACUCACACUGAAGGACACUUUUAAUCAAAGAAAGGGUGCAUCUAGUUGAGUUCCGACUGUAGAUAUACAUUGAAGCUACAUUGUCUACAUGUUCUGUUGUACAUGGGCUCAGCAGCUUCCCCUCUCCCCAGCUUGAUUAUCAAAGCUAACAGGCUUUAGCAUGUGUCAGUCGAGGCGGAUAACCCCUGGUAGAUACAAGAGAGCAGGAGACAAUCAAAGGCAGCCGGAGUUGACAGUGGUCAGCUUCUGGAGGUGAUAAAGGCCUUUGAACCUGAAAGCUGCUCGAGGCCCCCCUUUGUGUCGUCUCCCCGCCCCCCGAGCCUGGCCAUAGAGGGGUCUACUUUGAUUUAGGCCCCUAGAGAGCCAAGACAGCUCUCUUCAUCUCUGCUGGAGAGAGAGAGAGAGGCAAAGAGAGAGCAAGAGAAAGAGUGAAAUAGCCCAGAUCUAUAAGAUAUUGGUCCAUCAGUGGUGGCCACUCAACUGCAGGCCGGGUCAUCAUGUUUGACCUCAAACGCUUGACUUGGAAUGCAGGAAAAAAACAGAUAAGUGCAUCUGUGAAAGCCUGCAGUGUCUAAUGACGGCAGCAGUACGGGUGGCAAAUCCAUGUCUUUCUCUUAAAACAUAGAGAAUAUGCAUGUUUCCCUAAUAGCUCAUGUACCGGCUAAACUGCAGGUCAAAAUACUUUGUAAGCUGAAGCCGCUUCAUAAUAACUCCUGUUUUCAAACUGGCCAAAUUCAUAGUUCAUACUGUCAUUCAGGGCCGGUCAUCUACACCUCAUUUCAUUUUAUGGCUCAGACCUUCAGAUACACUCAACACCACAACAGGGAAAAUAUGUUUCAUGAUUGGAAAAGUCUCUUCCGCGAGGAGAGACUCCCCGAGAGACGUGCAGAGUAAGGUUAUGGAACAAAAGCCCUCCCUGCUCGAAUGUUAUUGUGGUUCAUGUCAUGUCUGCCUGGCAAGCACACUGUCUACCUUGGCAGUGAUGGAAGAUGAACCCUGUUCAUUAUUCUGAACAAAAAUUAGUUGGACACAUAUUAAAUGUGGAUCUAUAAAGAGUAGGAUGUUUCCCUGAAAAUGGGACGUUUGGAUUGCGCCUGUUGCCUCGGCUUCAAACGAGUUAACAUAUUUUAAAAAUGUGACAUUGCUGCCUUUAUUUGAAGUCUACACUCAAAAUAAAAUGUAACAGCGAGCGAGUAUUUUACGGUGAGGUGGGAAAGGUGAAAGGUCGCGGGGGCGGCCAGGUGAGCCCUGCCUGCAGAGCAGCUAUCAGACAUCGGGCAGAGGGAUGAGCGCCACAGCUCAGUGUGCUCAAUCCACCAUGCACACAAAUCAGUCUGUCCACCCGUUGCAAGCGUGCAUGCAUGCAUGGAAACACAAAUACAUUCUCUACAUAUAACAGAACAUCUAUAAUUGCAUCUCUACCUGAGAGCGGCGAAAAAAUAACUUGAGGCCUGAGCUAGCUGAUACUGCUGCGAAGUCAGAGGAUAUUUAAGCAAAUUGAGUUACGUAUGGUUGAGCACGUUUGUCUUUCAAUCCAGCUCUGUUUUCUGAAGCACCGGGCUCACUGUUCAUUUUAAACUCCUUUGAGAGGCAUAACCCCGGAGCUUGUAUUGAAAGAAUGUGCUGAUUGCUUCUCUCUUUCUUGCAGCUCAGGGAUGCUAAAACGUCUUACCUGCUAAACUAAAUAAAAAGCAAGCAAGAAGCUGUAAAAUUGAUUAAUCCAGUUAAUGACACUCAAUAUGUUGUUUCUUAUACUUCUGACCACUUGGGGAUAAUGUCUUGCCCUUUAUUGGUAAUUACCUGCGAUCCUUUUCCUUGAACAUUACAGCCAUGAAAAUGAUAUCUUUGUAUUUAUUAUCUGUCUCUUCAUCGUUGACAAUCAACACAGGGGGGAGGAAUGUGUGCAGAAUUGUGUGUUGUGCUUGAUGAGGCAAAGCAGAGAGAACAUUAAUUAUUCAAUACUCAAAUCACAAAAAUAAAGAUGGCAAAACCAAAUUGUUUUGAAAAUUUCCUGAGGAAAGAAAAUGUUGGCAAGCCUCCCAAAAUGCUGUUUUAAAAAAUGCUCUUUGAAGGUAAUGAGGCAUGCUCGUGGCACACAGAAGCAGGGAGUGGUGCCAUGGCAAAGCAGCAUGUUUUCAAUAGGGUUUCUUUUUUGCUUACAUAUCACUUUAGUAAGGCACGUGUACUACAUUUCUAAUGAAGUGUAGGAUCGCGCCCUACCCCCACUAAGGGCAUACUUGUCUUUUAAAGAAAAAGAUCUGGGGAAAAAGGGCAGAGGGAAAGAGGAAACUUUGCACCUUUGGUCCUAAACUUCAACAGAACAAUGCCUGCGACAUCAAAUUUUAUGUGAUAGUAAUAACAACACCCUAACUGAUCGAAAUUCACAUUUUUCUACCAGAACAAAAUGUGAUAUCACUCUUUGCUCUAUUAAAAGGUACAAGACUCUAUCCACUGUAAUGAGCAAGGGUGUUAUAUUAAACUCACUGUUAUACUGGCCAUUUUUAUGGGUGAUGAGAUAUGAGAGAAUCUCCUCUCUUGUAGUUAAUAAUACAUGUGAGGUAAGGAGGAAAAUAAUAUUUUUAUUGUAUCUCCAAAUGUAAUGAAGAGGAAUGUGAAAAUGCAAUGGUUAUUAGCCAGGUUUUUUGUGGUAAAAAAUUAUAUAGGGAUCAUGAAUAAUUUCUGUGAACAACCACAAAAAAGGAGUUUGAAACUUCAGGGAUUAUUUAUUUACGGAGUGUCAAUAUACAGUAAAUUACCAUCAGAGUUAGCUAGAAGCUACACAGUAAAUCUGAAACUGAAGGAUUAAAUAGCACAUAGUGAGGUUUCAAAAAUCUAAGAAUUAUGUUUAUACACCAUUUAAAAUUCUCUCAUAAAAUGGUUUAAUAAGGAACCUCGGGUUCUGUCUUCCUAUUCAAAGAACCUUGUACCACAAAAAAAGUUCAAUAUUAAAUUCGUACAGAAAAUAGACCCUUUUAUGAUUAUGUUGUUCUUUGACUUUGCCAGCUAUGAAGAGGAGAGCUACAGCACUCUGUGGUAAACCAAUUACAGCCAACCUAGGUUGCUAGCACUCUUUUUCAUUUAGACGUUUCUCUUGCACUUAAACCAUCUCUGUUUCUUUAGCAUGACAAUUUCAACAUAAAAUACAUGCAUGAAUCAAAUUACGCUCUACCGUGUCAGAUGUAAAUUCAGGCUAACUGUUGGCUAGCCAAUUAACCUUCUAACAUUAACCAUCAACUAAAAAUGUUAAGCUUCCUGUAAUAUUAACUUGGUGCUGUAUGGUAAGUAAAAGUAUAAAUGGUUCCACAAGUACGCCCUCUGUCACAAAAUAUAUUUUAAUUCAAGAUAGUAGCUGGACUAAUGUGAAUGCUAGCUAACAUUAGCCAUACCAGGGCUGCCAACUUUUCAAUUUAGUUUGGAGUAAGAUUUGGUAUCUGUGAAGUCGGUGCAUUUUACAUGUAGGCGUUAUGUGACAUUACCCAUCGCAGGGGUAGGGGUCGCUCCUCAACCCUCAGGAAUUUUAUUUAGAAAGUUCAGUAGCCAAAUUCAUCAUUUUAAAGCAUUUAUAGAUGAAAAGGCAUGUCAAUAAUCAUGGUCAAUGAUGAAUAAGUAUGGUUGAUUUGCAUUGUUCCCAUAUAUUUUGUUAACGGAUGCUAUUGGUGAUUUGAUUUUUAAAUUUGUAAUCACCUCAAGGACGAAACAUUGGUUUUCAAAGUCAAAGGGGGCCAAAAUAAAGGUGUGGGAGUCUGGGAGUCCUCCCCAUUUAAAAAAGAAAAAGGUUUGAAUACCAUUUGCUGCUUUUCUACAUGCUUUUAUCAUAUUCUCAGCUACUUAAAAACAACACAUUAUGAUUAAGAUGGCUAUCAUGCUUAGUUUAAUCAUUUUGCUAGAAUAGUGGUAAAUAUACAUCAGAAAAAGCUGGCUUUCUCUUAACCAUACUGAACAUCACAUACUGUGGUAUUCAAUUAGGGAUAUACACUAUACUUUGAAGAAUAGGAUAAGAGAUCAAUUCAUCAAUCCUGCUGUUGUUGGCAACACUUGAUUUUUUUAUUUUUCUAUCGCAAAACUCUACCAAUAACGUUACCACUCUAGUCACAAACUGUGACUCACAGCGUGAGAGUGGGUCCACUUGAUUACUAUCCUGGCGUACGCUGGUGUCGCAUCAGCUGGGCAGAGUUGAUUCGCGCCACAAUGUUAUAAGUUACAGAUUUGUUUUUCACUGCGUGAGAAAAUGGGCAUGUGGCGUGAAAGCAUGUGAAAAGUGUCAGUUGCAUGAGUCUCACGGUCAAUGCAUGAGAGUUGGCUGCCUUGGCCAUACCAGUAAGCUCGCCAGGCUGGAUGCUAUGUGGGUUAUCCCCCAUUUUACUGACAUUACAUGUGUAAUGGUUACUCAGAGUUGCUUAAAUGAGGUGUAUUCUAACACUGCUUAAAAAAUUAAUAA